GCGGGGGACCGAGAGGGCCUCGGCUGUGUGAGGACAGGAGGCGGCCGAGGCCCGGGCCGGUUCCCCCGA
ensembl:miRNA